AGAUCCAUGUUGACCACUAGCAUAGUUGAAGCCACUAAAGAAUUCUUUGUAUUUUCUGUACUGUAAAAUCCUGUUGUUUAAUGUUUCAUCAUCAUUGCAGUUUUUUUUUUCCAAUUGACAACUUAAUGUAUAUUAGAUUUCUGAAAAUAAAAAUGCCCCUGGUUACAUUUUUUUCUAACAGAACCUGGAAUUUUGAUUGGACUUUGGUGUGGUAUCAGAGUAAGCACCAUCUAUUUGCACAUUUAAAAAAAUCAGUGUUCCUUUGUGACUUACAUAUUUCCUAACUCCAGAGGAAAAUGUGUAGGAAAAAAAAUUAAACAGUACUUCUGUAGAAUUCCUGACUAUCAAGGUUAUGGGUCAAUUCAAUAGAAUGGUGAAUACAGUUUAAGGAGUAAAAUAAUUACAGGAAUUUAAGAGAAUCGAAUCCUAAGACAUUGUUAAUAUGAGCAUUAAAUUAGUUAUGAGGAUUAUUGCAACAAAAUUGAUUCAGAUUAAUAGGAUUUUGAAAGCUUCAUUUUGAAAGGGUAGCUAUGUAUACAGUAUCUCAUAUCUUCAUAGUUAAAAGUGUCUGCAAAGUCAGCAUCUUGUCCACCUAUCUUAUAUGAACUAAAAGAAUAAAACCGUUGUGCAUGAGUAAAUUUGGGUGGAUUAAAUAAACUAAAUAAACUAGUAACCCAUGGUUGAUUCUUUAUUGCCUCGUUUUGGAGGCAUGAGCUGAGGAUACUCAUAAUAUUGCAGUUGGGUUAAGUGACUCUAGAAAAUGGACAGAUGGGUGGAUGCAGGGAUAAUGUGCCAUCAGAAUCAAACUUCAUUUAAAUCAGAUGUAAAAAAUGUUACCUUUACAAAUUACACAAAGAAUUAUUUUAUUUUUACAGUGCUCUAAUAUUCAAAAUAGCUAUUUGAAUACACAAAGGACGAUUUUAUUUUUACAGUGUUCUAAUAUUUAAAAUGGCCAUUUGAAUAGUUUUUUUCUGUAAAUAACCUAAUGAUUACAAUGUGCAUGAUGCACAUAUACUAAUUUAAAAUAUACUCAUUUAAAAUAAUGUCUUUAAUCAUUAUAGCAGACUUUUUUGCCCAAGAAGUGUGUCCUCAUUUAAUUUAUAACCUCUGACCGUCUUUGAGGUAUCAAUGAAGUAAGGUACUCUCAUCAAUGUUCAAUUGUACAUCAAUUCUCAUGACUCAGGCGCCACUGCGAGUGGCAGCUAUUCCAGCAGCUCUGUGUAUGACUUUAUUUUUCUACCUUUUUCUCUAUUUCACUGUUAACUCCUACCACUUUCCUUGAUGUGGACUCGUUCCCUGGACACUUUUUACUACUUGGACAUGGAUUUUUACACGCCGAGACUCGUCUAUUCAAGUAGUCAACUUCAAGCGCUGAGAACAAAUGCCCGCGCCGGUGUGGUUCCCUAUUUACCUGACGAGAUGGAAAAGCUUUAAAAGUAGAGUUGAUCCAAAAUCGAAAAGUAAAACACCAAGGCUAUUGCAGACCACAAUGUCAGUUUUGAAACCGAUGACAGGAACCCUCACCAAAGAAAAAGAAGAAACAUUAAAUGUAAUCAAAGAGCUGAACAAAAUGAUAAAAAUGGCUGAUGUAGCUUUAAAAGGAACAAGGAAGACUGAAGACAAAUAACAACUCAACUUUAAUGAGAUAAUCUAUUUAGCUAGAUAUUUUACUUUAUUUUUAAUUCUGUUUGGUUUUUAUUAAGUCUGUUUAAAAUUAGACACGAUUAUGAUUUAUAAAUAUAUAUUUCCUUUUUUGUUUAAGCAAGAGGAAUAUCAUUAGACUUCAUGCAAGGUUUUGAGGCAUUAUAAUCUAAGUAAUAAUUAAGUAGUUCACCCAGUAAUAUGUAGUGUAAUGAAUUAUGCAGUGAUUAGUUAAACUGCUGUGUGCCAGUAUAUCAACAGCUAACAUAACAUCUGAAAUGGACAGAGAAAUUUCUACUUAAAUGCCUAGUUAAGUAGAAUAUUUUCUCAUAAGCCCAGGCUUUCUUUAUGUUUUUGAUCUAUACUGGAAUUUCUCAUAGAGUCCCAUUCAUGUGGUCAUUUUUUAGUGUAACAAAUUAAUUUUUUAAGUUUAGUGUUCAGUUGUACAAAAAUCAACACCAUCCAACAAAGCUACAUAUCUUCAUCUAAAGAAUAAGGACCAAUUUGUUUAUUUUCUACAUCUACCUUAGUGUUGACAUUGUAGCAAGUAUGAACAGCAGAAUUCCUAAUAAAUACUCAUUUAAGGAAACACUGUAAUUGUAUAAUAAUUGGUUUUAAAAGAGACUACAGCAUGAGGACUGAAUUUCAGAUUUGUACUGUGUAGGUUUGAAACUCCUCUUGCUAUAGCUGUGGAUAUCAAAUAAAAAAGAAUGCUGUACAUAAUCUGAAAGAAAACAAUUCAAGAAUAAUACAUUUAUUUCUGUAUGAAACUUGGCAUUUAAUUUAAUUUAAAUCAAUAAAUACAGUGUUCACA